CCUACGGGAGGCAGCAGUGAGGAAUAUUGGUCAAUGGCCGGAAGGCUGAACCAGCCAAGCCGCGUGAAGGACGAAGGUGCCAAGCAUUGUAAACUUCUUUUGUCAAGGGACAAAAUCAGGCUCGAGAGCCUGACCGAGGGUACUUGAAGAAAAAGCAUCGGCUAACUCCGUGCCAGCAGCCGCGGUAAUACGGAGGAUGCGAGCGUUAUCCGGAUUUAUGGGGUUUAAAGGGUGCGUAGGCGGACUGUUAAGUCAGCGGUAAAAGCCCGGGGCUCAACCCCGGCGAGCCGUCGAAACUGGGUGUCUUGAGAUGUCGAGAGGUAUGCGGAAUGCGCAGUGUAGCGGUGAAAUGCUUAGAUAUUGCGCAGAACUCCGAUUGCGAAGGCAGCAUACCGGCGGCGAUCUGACGCUGAGGCACGAAAGCGUGGGUAUCGAACAGGAUUAGAUACCCGGGUAGUC
rnacentral:rRNA from 1 species